rnacentral:lncRNA from 1 species
CGAUAUCAGUCUACUACAGAAACCCGUCCAAUCCACUGGUAGGAUGAACUCUGCUGGAGAAAUAAAUGCUACUCCAUUAGGGACGACCCAACCAAUCCAUAUGUAGGAGAAUCACUGCUGGAGAUGUAUUUCAUGAGACCCGCUCCACUCGGGGAACUUGCUGAGGAAAACCACACCAUUCUGCUGAGGAGAACAAUCCUAGUGGAGAGAAC